UCAUCUGCAGGGAGGGCUGCUCGCGUCCCUCCUCCUCCUCCUCCUCCUCCCUCUCCCUCUUUGGCAAAGUUGACGUUCCAAGGACUUGGACCUCGCAGUGCUCCUGCAGCCGCCGGGCGCAGCUUGGAGGAGGAGGAGGAGAGCUCGCGUUGCCACCUCGCCUCGGGGCUCCCGCAGCGCCUGAGCCUGCCUCGGACCCAGGAAGCGCCUCCACAAGGAAGCCGCGCCAGGAGGAGUUGGGGCGGACGCGCGGGCGUGGGGGGCGGCGGCGGCGGCGGCGGCGGCGGCGGCCUUCCUUCUCCUCCUCUCCGCCGCAGGUUUUCCUUCUCUUCCUCCUCGGUUGGCGAGAGGAAGCAGGGACGAAGCCCCCGCGCUCGUGAGGCGAUUCGGCCGGAGAGCCCCGGGUGCCCAAGUCCUCGCGCUCUCCGCCCGGGGUGUGUGGAGUCCUGGCGUCGCCUUCAUCCCUCACCCAGGAGGAGCAGGAGGGAAGGCGAGGAGCCUCCUUCCCGCGGAGAGGGUAGCCCGCCGCCUCCGACGUUGGCCGCCCGACUCGAGCAGGAGAAAGAGAGCGAAAGGGGCGAGAGGAGGAGGAGGAGGAGGAAGAGGAGGCGCAAAGCACCCAAAGUGGACUUUUUGCUGUGCCUUGGAGGAUUCCUGCCAGCUCGCUCCCGCCGGCCUCCCUCGGACAGCCCUCGCACCAAAGGGCGGGAAGAAGAAAAGUCCCAGAGAGAGAGAGAGAGAGAGAGAGAGAGAAGAGCGAGCGAGCGAGCGAGCGAGAGAAGGAGGGCGAUUGCGAACAGGGAGGGGAGGCCAGGACAGCGGAGCCGCCCCUCAGCGGCGCUGGACGGGGGCAGGGCUGGUGUAUGUCUCGCCUCGGGCUCCGCACAGGACUCGCCGCCGUGAAUGAGCUCCUCCCGCCUCCGCCUUGUUGCCCGUCUGUUGCCGCCGCCGCCGCCGCCGCCCGGUUCGGCUCGCCGCUCCCCCUCCCGGGGCCCGCAGGCUCCCUCCGGAUCUCUCCCGGGCGCCGGCUUUUUCCCCGGGGGGACCUCCUCGUGGCUGCCGGCCUUCUUGGCGCGUCUCUCUUUGUGUUUGUUGGGUGACUUGGUGUGAUUUCUCUUUCUCUCUCUCACUCUCUCUGUGUCUCUCUCUCUCUCGUUCUCGUCCCCCCUCUUUUCUUUCGUUACUUUGUCCUUUUUCGUGUGCUCCUUUGUUCCGGUCCUUGCUUUUUUCUUUUUUUUUGAGAAGAAAAGCAACGCUCCGUCCGUUCCUGCGGCGUGUCUCGUUGCCUUGGCCGGGAGUGAUGUUGCACGUGGAGAUGUUGACGGCGGUCUUUCUGCUGCUCUGGAUGUGCGUCUUCUGCCAGGAUCCCAGCUCCAAAACGGUGGCCGAUCGCUACGCCGUCUAUUGGAACAGCACCAACCCCAGGUAAGGAGGCGCCCCCCUGGCCUGUGGGGCUGGGCGAGCCCGGCGCGCUGACCACCCCCAAAAGUGACCCGGGACCCGAGGCUUGCCCAUGCACGGUUCAUGUCCUCGGAGACGGGAUCCGAGCGCGAGUCUCCUUGGAAAGCUCCCUGCUUUCCGUCCUCAGGCGGGGAGGCCGGUGGGAAAAAGAGGAUCAACUCCCCCCCCCCAAAACACCCCCUGUGUGGGCAACUUUGGGAGCGUCGCCCUGCGCCUGGUUCUCCCCUCGAUUUCUCUGUCCAGCUGGCUUCCAGUACGAGGUUGCUCGUAGUUCGACAGGAUGCUGCUUUUAUCUUCGCUAGGCAUCCACCAUGACUUUUGAGACCCAGGCAAAGCAAAUGUACAGUAUUUAGGAAGCUGGCCUCUGUUUUUUUCAGUACCUGGGAUUUGGGGUGGUGGUGAGAGCUAACCAUCUCUCCGAGAUUCCAGCCCUUUUUAGUUC
ensembl:lncRNA